rnacentral:tRNA from 1 species
UUGGGCUAUCGCCAAGCGGUAAGGCAACGGGUUUUGAUCCCGUCAUUCCCAGGUUCGAAUCCUGGUAGCCCAGCCAU